rnacentral:rRNA from 1 species
AUUUUCUUUAAAUUUAAAGAAUUUGGCGGUUGUUUAGUCUAGUCAGAGGAACCUGCUUUUUAUCGAUACAACACGUAAAAUCUUACUUAUUUUUGUUUUUAGUUUGUAUACCGUCAUUAUUAGAUGAUUUUGUAAAGAAUAAAUUAUUAGGGAUAAUUAUGUUAAUAAAAUUAGAUCAAGGUGCAGCUUAUAAAUAAGUUAAAGUGGGUUACAAUAAAGGUUAUUUAAACGAAGUUAAGAUAGGUAGCUUCUUAUGAAGGAGGAUUUGAUUGUAAUAUAAAUUUAAUAAGGUUAGGAGAUAAAAGCUCUAAACUAUGUACACAUCGCC